rnacentral:misc_RNA from 1 species
AAGGAAGCCAACAGGCAUCAGAGCAGUAAAAUAAAUAUUCAAAAAGUUCAAUAGUACAUUUAGUUUCUGUAUUAUUCAGCACAUUGUAUGAUAACUAUUCAUGGAAUUUCCUUGCCAGGAUUUCAGAGAUUUACACAAUACCUAUCAAAUCUUCGACUCACUUUACUACAAAUGUUCAAGACCAUAUAUGGGUGUUAAGGAAAGUCAAUAUGAGCUGCUUCACCUCAUCAGGUGAUUGCUCCUGAACGAAAUGGGUUCCUUCAGGCAAGCAUAUGAUCUCCGGAUUAGGGACAAACUCUUUAAGCUUCCCACCCUCUGUGUAAUCUUAUAUCCCUGUAAAUUUGAAGACAUAAUCUUUGGCCCCCAUGAAAAGCAGCGCUGGAACUUUAACUUUAGGUUCAGUUAUGCUGAACUCUUCAUCAGCUGACCUAUAUGGAACCUUCAAAGCAGUUUGAAAACCAGAUUUCUAAUGCUCCACAUGUUGCAAGAUCUUCCUCAGUGAACCAAGGGGGAAGGGGAGUAAAAGGUUCUACCAAAUCCAUGAUUUCCUGGUUUUCAGCAACUAUUGGUAUUUCACUUCUAGAGAACAGAAUGUAGAUGUUCCUCACCAUAGUUUUAGCAUCAAACUGACCAAAAUCAGUUUCUGCUCACCCAGGUUCCUAAACAGCAACCAAAAGAAAUAAAAUUGUAGACAAUUAAUAUUCAUUCUUUAUUUUCACCCUGAAGAAAGUUUUAGAGAAUCAUUAUUAAAUGAUUAAACUAAGAAAUGUAAGUGCAGAUACCUGCCACCUACGCAUAUAAAAGCCUUCAGGAAGACUAUUCCUGUACUGACUGAGUCAACCUUUGGGUGCGAGUGGCACUCCUAUUGUUACAACCCCUAAGACCCUCUCUGGGUGGAGAAGAGUAAACAUGGAGACAAGCCUGCCUCCAAAAUCUUUCGCAACAACAGCAACAACCUUGGUGAUUUCGAGUGAAUCUAGGAUUCCGACAAGGUCGUUGACUAUAUCCGUGAAGUGAUCUUCUCGGGUUCGCGUGGAGAUUCGGACAAUCCGUAUCCUCUGUAAUCGGGUGCGAUAGCGCGAAACCCUACGUUGGCCAGAGCAAUCAUCUGGUGACGCCACGAGUACCAUAUCUCCGGGAACCCAUGCAAGAACAAGACCACUUUAUCACCUGCAGAUUAAGGCCACCGUGCUUGAUUAGCAAACAGUAGUAAUGUAUAGAAAAUAACGUAGGGAUGAUCAUACCGGAGUGUCACCAGUUCCGAUAUCGGCCACAUGGAGGCUCAGUCAUUGUCCUUUGAUGUACUUGUGCUGAAUUUGGUCCAUUUGAGGUUUCAGACUAUCAGAUUGUUGCAUCAAACCAUCAAUUUACUUGUAUGUGAUGUUUCAGAGUUGGACAGAUGGGUUGAGUUGUGCAAUGAUUGUUAAGGUUGAAGAAUCCCCCCCAUGAAGGCCGAAGCCUGAAGACAACUUUGGGAUUGGGAGUGAAAGCAGAAGCCCAACAAGACCAAGAAAACAUCUGGAACCCAAAGAGCAAACCCAGCCCCAUCCUAAGCUAGCAACGCGCAGAGUCUGGUUUAGAAUCUUCUCCAUCUCGG